GCCCGGCUGGAACAGGUCAGUGCAUUGGCGGGCCUGGAGCGCACGCGCCUGCUGCGCUGGAUCGCAGCCAGCGCGGGGCU
rnacentral:tRNA from 1 species